AGGAACUUGGCUCCAGAGUGUGUCAUCACCGAGGACCUCCAGGCCUAAGAAAGUUGAAGUGCGAAGCCUUGAAGCCAAUUGUGUGAAGCUCUACUUAUCCAAGAAUGCACAUUAUAUAUUGUAAUAAUAGACAUAUCUGCUUUGUAAUAGAUUGGAAAAAUUGUAAUAUACUACCUUCGUGUUAAUUUGAUGAAUUUCACAUGUC